CAGACCUCCAAGACCUGGUUAGCUGCACCCAAUGGUACUAAAGGAACUCGCGGAUGUAAUCUCAAAGCCUCUGUCUAUAGUAUUUGGGAUUUCAUGGAAAAUAGGUAUGGUCCCUGCAGACUGGAGGUGGGCAAAUAUCCCUAUCUUCAAAAAGGAAGUUGGCAGAAGACCCAAGUAACUACUGGCCGGUAAGCUUGACAUCAAUACCAGGAAAGGUCUUAGAACACAGAGCUAAACAGUGAGUCUGUGAGCACUUAGAAAAGGAUGCUUUGAUUACUAAGACCCUGCAUGGGUUUCUCAUGCCUGAUAAAUCUCCUUUCUUUCUUUCUUUCUUUCUUUCUUUCUUUUGAGAGAGUGAGUGAGUUACAAGCUUGAUGGAUCAGGGAAAUGCUGUGCAUGUAGUUUAUCUUGAUUUCAGUGAGGCUUUUUUUAACAAAAUCCCCCAUGAUAUUCUUGUGGGGAAGCUGGUGAAAUGUGGGCUGGAUGAGAUAGGUGGAUUUAUAGAUAGUUGACUGACCAAACUAACAAGUGCCUUGUCAUCCUAGAAGAAAGUGACAAGUGGGGUGCUGCAAGGUUUUGUCCUGGGUCUGUUUUUGUUCAACAUAUUUAUAAAUUACUUGGAUCAAGGAAUUUAGGAGAUGCUAAUCACAUUGGCAGGGUAGCCAGUACAGCAGAAGACAGAAUCAAGAUUCAGGAUGAUCUUAACAGAUUGGAGAACUGGACCCAAACUAACAAAAUGAAUUUCAAUAUGCACAAACGUUACGUUCUGCACUUAGGCAGGAAAAAAUAUAAGCUGACUUGCCAGUAGUACAUGUGCAAAGGAUCUAGGGGUCUUGGUGGACCCCAAGUUUAACAUGAGUCAGGAGUGUGAUGCAGCAUCGAAAAAGCUAAUGCUAUUCUAGGCUGCAUCAACAGGUGUAUAGUGUCCUGAUAUGGUCAGAGAGAUUCUUCAAAAAGAAUUAAACUAAAAAUAUUUCUUUUCUUCAUUGAAUUAAUGAUAAGACUUUGUCUGGAACAUCUAUUUCAGAUUCCAAUUUAUUGCAUGCUGCAUCCUCUUACAAUAAAAAGCCCUGGUAGUGUGUCCCCUAGGACUGUAACAUAUACAAUGAAAAUGUAAAACUUCUAUUUCUAAGUGAAAUUCCUUGUGUUUAUUUUCUUUUUAUAGCAAGUAAUUCUUAUACCCUGGAGGAAUGGUCUGAGAACUAUAUUGACAGUACCAAAGUUUAACUCUGGCAAAGCAUAGUACAAACACACAGAGUCAUUCUUUGUAUAAUCAGACUCCUGGAAAAGAGUAGUCCAAAGAUACUAACAUGAACUUACCUGUUUUCAGAGAUAUAAAUAUCUGCAGUGUUUCUAGAGUUGUUCAUACUUUCAACAGAUUCAUAGUGUUAGCAAUGAUGUGUUAAAAUUAAGCCCCUUUCAAGUGCUUAGAAAUUAAUACAAUGAAUAUGCAUGUUGUUGUUGGCAUCCAUGUGUCUUGAAAGACAAUGGAGUCAAACCACUGCCUUAGCAGCACUGAAGUGACCUCCCUGGGGUGCAAGCCUGGGUGGUAUGUAUAGAGAUCACGGACUGCCCAGAUGAUGGGAAUCUCCUCUUGGCCUCACUGAUAUGAUCCAAAGGAAAGGACAGCAAUACAUUUGGCACUAGUUUUAACUGGAGGAGGUGCCAGCAGGAGGCAUUCAAGGCAGCAUCCAACUUUUUAAGGGAUUCCUCUCUGGAUUUGUGUAGGGUUUACUCAUCAGCGUUUAAUUCUUCCAAAGAUAUCGCACAAGCCAGCGGAGGUUUAGGAUCAGAGUUUUCCUUUUCCGAGAUGGGCUACCUUCCCUCACUUCCCUCUACAGCACAUGCAGAAACCACCUUCUUGACUGUUGGACUCACUAUUGGUCUUGUCCACACAAUCUGCUUGAGCCUGUCUUCACAUGCAAGUGAAGUCCCUAACUCACUGAGGGUUUGAGACUCAUUGGCUACCCUCACCUGGUUUAGCCAGCCAGUUGAAGGCAUUCCUGGAGUGUGGCUGCUGUCGCAUGCUGACACAGGUGAGAGCUGAGUUCAGGGUGGACACACUGUCCCAGAAGGAGCAUGAACUUUUCGAAGGCCAGAGAAUAGUGACUCCUGGUCUAGAGAGAAGGCCUUUGUGUAGAGGCCUUUCUUUACAUGAUCAGGCACCUUUAAACUCAGGGUUUUCAGACAAAUGUAAUGAACCCCCACACCCACAGCAAUACAUGGAGAACUUUCUAAAAGUGUUCUGAUAAACUGAUAUAGAGGCAGAGUCUGCUGUUGCAAUGUCACCACCCUAGACAUGCAUUCCCUGUAACUAUUGUUGAUGCCUAGAAAAGCUCUUAAAUUGUUUUUCACAGGUUUAUCCACUCAGGAUAAAGCUACAUGCAUACUUAUUUUUAAGUAAGCCUCUUUGGACUUAAUGGGGCUUUGUUCUGUGUAAAUAUCCCUAAGACUUCGUCACAAGUUAUUGUGUGUAAAUUGUUGUAUUUCCUUGCCAUUUGAAGUGGAUACUGUUCUAAGAAAUGUCAGUCACAUUGUGAGAAAAUGUACUGGAGUUUCAAAUUUAAAAGAAGGAGUAAUAUUUAUGCAAUAGUAGAAAUGCAAAUCUGCAGAUCUGUAUGCUGGCUUACGGAAACAGGCGUUCCUUUGUUUGAAAACAAGAUGUAAUUUAUUUAUUUUAAAAUAGGUUUCACCUAGCCACUAUGCUACAUCAGCUUUGAAAGUGUAUAAGUUAUAGAUCAAGAAGUCUCAGAUUUGAAUGUCACUAAGGUGCUCCUAGGCAAGCCUCAGUCCCCCAUCCGUAAUAUAAGAAUAAUAGUACAGAUCAACCGUACAAGAUUACUGUAAAGAAUGCAAGAUUUUUUUCUCUUGUAUAUGGUGUCAUUUGUAUAUCCAUGUUUGUUAUUAUGUAGGGUUUUUAUGUGGUGAAAUAUUAAGUAUAGAGAGACCUGGCUGCAUUUCUUAAAAAUUGCAUUUUACAGGGCAAGUAUUUUUUAAAGCAUUCAUCCUUCAAAUAAAACAAUACUGUCAUCAUCAAGGGGUUGCAAAGAACCUGUCUUUUCCAUUGCACAACUGUAUCGUUGAUACCCCCCUGUGCAUCGUGAAGCGUCAUAGUUGAGAGAGGGAGUAAGCAUGUUAAUGGUGAAGGUUUAGGCAGUUUUUUUUGUCUGUGCUAAUUUUUCUGUUUGAACAAAUUCGUGGUUUCAAUGAUGGUUUGAUUUCCUCCACACGGUUGCCUGUGGGGCAAACAGCUGUUUUGUAUUAGAAAAACAACAUGCUUUGAAUGAACUGAAAUGUUGCCUGGAAUUUUGAAUAGGUGCUGUAAUCACAAAGGGACUGGUUCCACCCCCUCCCUGUUGGAUUGUGUGAAGCUGAACAGUAGAGAAGGGAGAGAGGGAAGGGUGCAGGUCUGGGAUCAGUUUACUCACAGUCUACUCAGAAGUAAGUAUUUUUAAGUUCAGUGGGGUUUAUUGCCAGAUAAGUGGGGUUAGGGUUACAGCUAAAAUGGAUUAAGGAGCAGAGCAAGGAAGGAAUGAAGUGCCAUGGGAAAGAAAGAUGUGGUGAAGGCAAAUGACAAUGUUAGCUAUGGCAGUAACUCAGCUACAGCCCACACUUUUGGCCCUGUUGUAUAAAAAUGUCUACCUUUUAGGAAUAUCUUGUUCAUUAAUGUGCAACAUCCAAAUUUAUUAUUGUAGGCAGAGCUACUUAUUGGAUUGUUCCUUUAAGUAUGUAGCACACAUAUGGUAAAAAACGCUCAUAAUUUUCUUUUCUUUUUGCGAAAGCACAUUUAGCUUUUCAAAGGAUCUUUUUAGGAUAGAAAUUGUUUUCUUCAUGUCACUUAUUGUUAAUAACCACUAGGGGUCAUUGUAGCUUGAUUGUCAUUCAUAAAUGCACAGUCUCUGUCAGAAGAAUUCCUUUGUAAUAGGACACUUGGGAAUGGGUAUAAGGAGGAAUCUUAUUAUGAAAGGAAUGGAUGUUGAUUAUUUCGCUAGAGUUCAACAUUCUUUUUUUGAUGAAAUUUACUGAAUGCAUUUGGAUGGUAGCAGAUCCAAUAGGCAAAGGAUGACUUAAAGCAGUGUGCAAUGGUCUGUCGUUGAUAUUUCUUCUGAACUUGAAUGUUUCAGAAUUAAGUUUGCUUACUGGAAUGUUAAGCAGAAAUAAAUGUUUAAGUUUGUAACCAAUACAGAUAUGUUUUAUUUUAAAGCAAAAAAAUAUUAUGUGACUUUUAUAAUCCUUGACCAUCUAUGGGGGUAAAAAGAAAUGCCAGUAGACGGGAAAAGCAACUUGAGGGAAAGAAGGUGAUUUGGAAUGGGCAGGCUGGCAUUGGAGAGAGCAUUAAUCACAUACACACCCAGACUUCUCCUGUUCAAAUGUCCUUGAUCCUGGAGCUGCUUUUCUUACAAAUGCAGUACCAUUGGUACCAUCAUAGGCAUCACAUGCAGUUUGCCCGCUUUUUAAAUUGAACUUUUGAUUCUGGGGUUUUUUUUGGGGGGGGGGGGUCUUCUGAAAAAUGUAGACCCAAGCAUUAAAAUACUGGCUCUUGAUCCAAAACAUUCUGUUAGCUUUGACAAAUGGAAGCCAUCUAUCCAUUUUAGACUGGAAUGAUUAUGAAAAAGGACUUUGGAUAACUUAAAAGCUUCAAAAUUCAAAGAGCUGUAGAAAGUGAUUAAGUGGUGGUGUGGGUGGAGAGAGUUUGCUUUCUCAUAUUCAACAAUAAGCUUUGAUUUGAUAAUGCCCCCCACCAAAUUUGUAGGCUACUAAUUCAAACCAGAUAUUGCAGGUCUUCAUAUGAUGCAAGCAAAACAGAGAUGGGUGGCAUCUGUACAAUAUCAUUGCAUACCAUCCCCAAUUGCCAGAUGCUUAAUUUAGUGUUCCUGUUUUCUUUUGGAAAAUUAGGAACAGCUGAGACUGAGGUGUCUUUAGGAUAUAUUAUUUAUUUAGACAUAUAUACACUCUGAACGUACAAUGGAGAGAUUCACAGCAUCAGCACUCCAAGAGGGUCUUGACUCUUCCAUAGGCACAGCCUUCGAUCUAAACAGACACCAACUAUUGUUCUCUGCUUGUUGCUUCCCUCUGCUAAAACUGCUCACCUUCCCAGGGGGGCAGAGUUGCAAGCUGGCCACCUGAAGGCACGUUCUUUCACCUUUGGUGGACAUGCCCAAGGAUUAAGACAUUCUGGGAGAUGAUUUAUAAUGAAAUGAAAAAGGUAUUUAAAUAUACCUUUCUGAAGAAACCAGAGGCCUUUCUCCUGGGCAUGGUCAGCCAAUUGGUGCCAAAGAAGGAUAGAACUUUUUUUAUGUAUGCUACAACAGCAGCAAGAAUACUCAUCGCGAAGUAUUGGAAGACACAAGAUCUACCCACCCGGGAAGAAUGGCAGAUGAAGUUGAUGGACUACAUGGAAUUGGCGGAAAUGACUGGCAGAAUCCGAGACCAGGGAGAAGAGUCAGUGGAAGAAGAUUGGAAAAAGUUUAAAGACUAUUGACAGAACUAUUGUAAAAUUAAUGAAUGUUAGAAAAAUGUUGGAAUGAAGUUAUAUGGCUUCAGUAGAAAUGUUAUAAGGAAUUAAGUAU